rnacentral:rRNA from 1 species
UACAGAGGGUGCGAGCGUUGUCCGGAAUCAUUGGGCGUAAAGCGCGUGUAGGCGGCUUGGUAAGUCUGCUCUGAAAGCCCGGGGCUCAACCCCGGGAGGCGGGUGGAUACUGUCAAGCUCGAGUCCGGAAGAGGAGUGUGGAAUUCCUGGUGUAGCGGUGAAAUGCGCAGAUAUCGAGGAGGAAUACCGAUGGCGAAGGCAGGUCUCUGGGCUGACACUGACGCUCAUGACACGAA